rnacentral:rRNA from 1 species
UACGUAGGGUGCGAGCGUUGUCCGGAAUUACUGGGCGUAAAGAGCUCGUAGGUGGUUUGUCGCGUUGUUCGUGAAAACUCACAGCUUAACUGUGGGCUUGCGGUCGAUACGGGCGUCACUGGAGUUCGCAGGGGAGGACUGGAAUUCCUGGUGUAGCGGUGAAAUGCGCAGAUAUCAGGAGGAACACCGGUGGCGAAGGCAGGUCUCUGGGCCACUACUGACGCUGAGAAGCGAAAGCAUGGGGAGCGAACAGG